CCAAUAGUGUAUAUUAAAGUUGUUGCAGUUAAAAAGCUCGUAGUUGAAUUUCGGGACCAAUCUGCCGGUCGUGCCUCUGGUACGCACUGGUUUUAUUGGUUUCUCCCUUCUGACGAACCAUAAUGUCAUUAAUUUGGUGUCAUGGGGAAUCAGGACUGUUACUUUGAAAAAAUUAGAGUGUUUAAAGCAGGCUCACGCUUGAAUACAUUAGCAUGGAAUAAUGAAAUAGGACGUUUGACCCUAUUUUGUUGGUUUCUAGGAUCGACGUAAUGAUUAAUAGGGAUAUUUGGGGGCAUUAGUAUUCAAUUGUCAGAGGUGAAAUUCUUGGAUUUAUUGAAGGCUAACUACUGCGAAAGCAUUUGCCAAGGAUAUUUUCAUUAAUCAAGAACGAAAGUUAGGGGAUCGAAGACGAUCAGAUACCGUCGUAGUCUUAACCAUAAACUAUGCCGACUAGGGAUCGGAUGAUGUUAAUUUUUUAAUGACUCAUUCGGCGCCUUACG
rnacentral:misc_RNA from 1 species